GAAAAUACAAAGAUGGCAGAUGUUUAUCAGAACCUUAAACCCAAUAAAGGGUGUGCACUCUUGGGAAGUAUAUGCUUGGGCCAGGAGAUCGAAUAUGAGUUUUCAGUUAAACUUCAGGUAUUGGUACAAGUAAUUCCUGAUAAUGUAGAAAUUAAGGCAUGUUGUAAGCAUAAAUCAGUCCACAACUAGUGAGAAAAAAAAUAGCAUAAGUUGAGAGACAUGUAGAAUUCUUACCUCAGAAAAUCGCAAAUGUCCACACUGUACAUUAGAAGUUUUGACUAUUGUUUCCCACUUCAGGUCUGGGGACUGCACUUUGGGAGCCUGAACUACAGGAUAUGCAUGCAUACCAGGAAAAGACUUUAGAGAUGUAUGCUUUGAGGAAACAGCAGGUAAAGUACGCUUUAGCCAAGAUUCUGAUGGAGAUUUUGGUAAAGGUGGGGGUAGAGGAUGCAGAGUGUAGCAGCUAUCAGGAGUUUCUUGAUCACCUAAUUCUGUGCAGAGUUGGCUUUUUAAAUCGGUCUUUCCAUUGUCAGCCACAUUUUCUCUUGUCAUCUUGAUAGGGUCCUGGAUAGAACUUUCUAAGUUGCUUAAUAUCUUACCCAGUUGGCUUUCUAAAUCAAUCUUCCCAUCUCCAUACACUUUUGGGCUUGUUGGUGUAACAGAAAUGGCCAUGAGGUCUUGGUCAUGUCUUAAAUGCACCAAAGGCAUUUGCGCAUCAUGCAUGGAUUUAUCAGAUAAUGAUAGAAGACUAGAAUCGGUAGGAUCCAGACUUUCAGGCAGCACAUUCACCUUUGGAUAUGCAGAAUUAGCAUUCUUAAUGUCUUGAAAUGAAGAAUCAAAAGUAGCAGUUCCAUCAAUUUCCUUAUCUUGAUCAUCUCUUCUGCAAUUAAUCAGGUCUUUUGUAUCUGGAGAACUUGAAUUUGAAGUUUGAGGUUUUAUCAUUUGUACAGAAUCUAUGUACAGAGUUUUCUCAACCAGAGAACUAGCAGGAGCUGAUUCCCACUCAUUUCUCUCGUUAGCCAAUAAUUCUCGAAAAUUCUUGCCACCUUUUGCAUGUG
rnacentral:lncRNA from 1 species